CCCUAUGGGGUGCACCAGGCCAAAAAUAAGAAGGUGGCCUUCUUGGCGAAUCGGCUGCAUCUGGUGGAUCAAACAUGCAGGCGGCUGGCUGAGGCUGGUUUCGAGUUCGGAGUGAUCCAGGGCGAAAACACCAUGUCUCCCUGGCGCUCUGUCCUGGUGUGCAGCAUCCAAUCUGUAGCCAGCCGGGGGCUCCCGGAUGUGGAUCUCCUGGUGAUCGAUGAGGCCCAUGCCUGUGCGGGGACCAAGGCAUACCGAAAGGUCAUGGAAGGCAAGCCCUGCAUCGGCCUGACCGCCACACCCUAUUCAAAGGGCCUGGGAAAGCACUAUCAGGAAUUGGCGGGGGGGC
rnacentral:rRNA from 1 species